AAGGCCUUAGCUUAAUUAAAGCACCUGAUUUGCAUUCGGGAGAUACAGGUUAAUAUCCUGUUGGUCUUA